rnacentral:rRNA from 1 species
GAUCAUGGCUCAGGACGAACGCUGGCGGCGUGCCUAACACAUGCAAGUCGAACGGAACUGUUUUGAAAGAUUUCUUCGGAAUGAAUUUGAUUUAGUUUAGUGGCGGACGGGUGAGUAACGCGUGAGUAACCUGCCUUCAAGAGGGGGGAUAACAUUCUGAAAAGAAUGCUAAUACCGCAUGAUAUAUCGGAACCACAUGGUUCUGAUAUCAAAGAUUUUAUCGCUUGAAGAUGGACUCGCG